UCCUCGUACAGAAAUUCUUCUUGGAUAAACUCGGUCGUGGUGUUAUUUCUUAUGGAACUGAAACAUUCGUUUGAGAAGUUUUACAUCAUACGAACCAUACGAAUAUGAAGGUGAAAGUUGUUUCAACGCACGAGCUUUACAAAGGGCUUCAGACUGGGUGAAAGCACUUACUUUUAUGGGUCUUGGAUCAUGUUAUCGGAUAUAUGGCAACCAUGUUUAUCUAGUUUUAGUGACCAAUUAUCGCAUUACAACUACUAUCCCAUUUCACCCUCGUUACCGCCAAUCAUGCUCCUUCUUUCGUUCCACCAUAUCCAAUGGUCCACCACCGCCGGGUAUCCUUCAUGCCCUCUCCGUCAAGAAUGGCUCUUUUCAAACUUUGAACUGGGUUAACCAUCUUUUAACUCUCUAUGCUAAAUCCAACAACAUGGGCCAUGCCCAGAAGCUGUUUGAUGAAAUUCCCCUCAAAAACACUCACACAUGGACCAUCCUUAUAUCAAGUUUUGCCAGAGCCGGCUCUUCAGAAAUGGUUUUUAACCUUUUCAGAGAAAUGCAGGCAAAGGGUGCUUGCCCAAACCAAUACACCUUGUCCAGUGUCUACAAGUGUUGUUCGUUUGACAGCAAUCUUCAAUUCGGCAAGGGAGUUCACGCAUGGAUGCUCAGACAUGGGGUUGAUGUAGAUGUCGUGCUGGGGAACUCUGCUCUUGAUGUUUACUUGAAAUGCAAUGCUUUUCAAUAUGCGGAAAGGUUGUUUGAGUUGAUGGAUGAAAGGGAUGUUGUGUCAUGGAAUAUAAUGAUCGGUGCGUAUCUGCGUUUUGGAGAUGUGGAGAAGUCUCUUGACAUGUUCAGGAGUUUGCCUUGUAAGGAUGUUGUAAGUUGGAAUACUAUCGUGGAUGGGUUGAUGCAAUGUGGUUAUGAACGACGGGCAUUGGAACAACUCCAUUGUAUGGUGGAAUAUGGGACUGAGUUUUCUGAUGUCACUUUCUCCAUAGCUCUUAUUUUGGCUUCCUCUUUAUCAGUUUUGGAGCUUGGGAGACAACUCCAUGGGAUGGUCCUUAAACGUGGCUUUGGUAGUGAUGGUUUUACGAGGAGUUCACUUGUAGAAAUGUAUUGUAAGUGUGGGAGAAUAGAUAAGGCAUCUAUAAUUCUCAGAGAUGUUCCUCUGGAUUUCCGGAGAAAAGGGAAUGUUGGAGUUACUAGCAAAGAAACAAAGGCAGGAAUAGUUUCAUGGGGUUCAAUGGUUUCUGGUUAUGUUUGGAAUGGGAAGUAUGAAGAUGGUUUGAAAGCUUUCAGGUUAAUGGUUCGUGAACUGGUUGUAGUGGAUAUUCGAACAGUUACAACUGUUAUUUCUGCUUGUGCUAAUGUUGGAAUUUUGGAUUUUGGAAGGCAUAUACAUGCCUACUUUCAGAAAAUAGGGCACAGAGUAGAUGCUUAUGUUGGGUCUUCAUUAAUUGAUAUGUAUUCUAAAUGUGGUAGCUUGGAUGGUGCAUGGAUGAUUUUCAGACAAAUCAAUGAACCGAACGUUAUCUUGUGGACUUCAAUGAUAUCUGGCUGUUCGCUACAGGGUCAAGGAAGGCAGGCAAUUAGUCUUUUUGAAGAAAUGUUGAAUCAGGGUAUUAGGCCAAAUGAGGUUACUUUUCUAGGGGUUUUAAAUGCAUGCAGCCAUGCUGGGCUGCUUGACGAAGGUUGUAAAUAUUUUAGGAUGAUGAAAGAUGCUUAUUGCAUCAAUCCUGGAGUUGAGCACUGCACUUCUAUGGUUGAUCUUUAUGGUCGAGCAGGUUGCUUAACCGAGACAAAGAACUUCAUUUUUGAAAAUGGUCUCUCUCACUUGACUUCUGUCUGGAAAUCAUUUUUAUCAUCUUGUCGACUUCAUAAAAAUGUUGAAAUGGGAAAGUGGGUUUCUGAUAUGCUGCUUCAAGUUGCACCAUCUGAUCCAGGCUCCUACGUUUUGCUAUCAAAUAUGUGUGCUUCUAACCAUAGCUGGGACGAGGCUGCUAGGGUAAGAAGUUUAAUGCAUCAAAGAGGAGUCAAGAAGCAGCCUGGUCAAUCUUGGAUUCAACUAAAGGAUCAAAUCCAUACUUUUGUCAUGGGAGAUAGGUCUCACCAUCAAGACAAGGAGAUAUACUCAUAUCUGGACACUUUAAUCGGAAGGUUGAAGGAAAUUGGGUAUUCCCCUGAUGCCAAACUGGUCAUGCAGGAUGUAGAAGAAGAGCAAGGAGAAGUACUUAUUAGUCAUCACAGUGAAAAGCUUGCAGUAGUCUUUGGCAUCAUUAACACUGCCCAUAGGCUCCCGAUUCGAAUUAUAAAGAACCUCCGCAUUUGUACAGAUUGCCAUAACUUCAUUAAACAUGUUUCUCAGCUUCUAGAUCGUGAAAUAAUUGUAAGAGAUAUUCAUAGGUACCAUCAUUUUAACCAUGGUAGUUGCUCUUGUGAAGAUUAUUGGUGACAUAGGUAAAACAUACAAUUACUAUUAUUAAGUAUACGAUAUAGUCUUGAUGUUCUGAAACCAGUCAUGAUGUCUUCAUUUGUGCUACGUACAUGUAUCAGUGCAUCUGAGACUAGUUGCAACAGAGUGAAAAUGACAGCGGGGAAUAUUCCGAGACUUUCGUUCCAAGUUACAUAAACUUUUUGGUUCCUAUUUUUUAGCUAUUUCUUUUUUUAUUGUGAGAUUCUAAUUUGUAUAUUUAUUUUGUUACCACAUGUUAGACUUACCAAUCAUUUCAAUCCUGGUGUCUUUUAUGAUGUUUCAUCCUCCAUAUGCCGUUACAAGGUAAUUGAUGAAGUACUGCGUUAGAUCAGAUAAAACAAAUGAAAUUUAUAUUCUGAUAUUCUGUUUAGUCUACCCAAAAUAAUAUAUAUAUAUAUAUAUGAAAAUUGAAAAAUAAUGAAUGAAAAUUGAAAAAUAAUGAAAAUAGAAAAUGUUUUAGGUAAACAGAGGGAAAUUUAUAUUUCAGGUUAAAGAAGUGUUUAAUUCUCAGUACUAAGUAUCAUAAAAUCAUAAUAAAUUAAACAUGAAAAAUAAGUAACAUGUUGAAGCAGCUUGUGGGUUCUGGUCAUUUGUUUCAUAAAAACUUGUGGAACUUCCAAAGCUCCCAGUUACUAGCUUUAUGUCACAAACUGACAAAAAUAAAUCAUUGUUAUUGGAAUGGUUUCAGUGUUUGAUGUACUAGUACUUCAGAUCUCUCGUAUUUUCCACCUUUGUCCAGUUCAGUAAUCAACUUUGAAGUUUUUUUCGUGGAACAAAAUUUAGCAGGGAAAGGAGGCUGCAUGGUACAAACCUAAGCAAGAACUUGAUACUUACAGAUGACCUACUAAUGGAAGACCACGAGCAGGAACCGAAUCUAAGCCCCUUUUGUCUGCGUUGUUCAAUCCAGCAUGUUAAGCAACCUUCAUUGCGCACUUGAUUGAAAGGUCUUGUACAUCAAGGAAGCUCUGGCAAAAUUCGUUAGUUAUCUAGGUUCUGGUUUCGUAGCUUCUAUGUAGGCCAAUAGCGCUUUAAUUAUUGCUUGCACUAUUCUCAUAUCUGCUAUAAUCAUGCAAAUCACAAUGCUUUUUUUUUGUAUCGAUAA